GGGAGAUAACACCUGCUUUCACUGCUGGGGCAGUGCUAAUCAUUGGGGACUGGAAUUAACUCCUUCUUACCCGAGCUAUGGGAUCUCUCCUUGGGACCACCCCUGCAAGAGUAAAGCAGUCAUUCACAGUCACUCAAACUCCUUUCUCCAGUGCUGAAGAGUGCUCGAGGCAGCUAGCCUGCCCUUGGGGGUGUUCGGCUAACCCCCACCACGACCCCAUGACUGUGGGUGCGAUCGUCAUAACAACGACAGAGGAGAGUUGAACCCUGCAGCAGCCAAGAGCUAGGGACUGCAAUUGGGCGAAGAGACCUGCAACUGGCCUCGCAACUCCACCUCCCCCUUCCCCUGAAGGGGAUAAAUAGGUUGGCCCCGGAAGCCGUCUUUGGCUCUUUGUGGGUCACAGUAGGUCUGCCAACUUGCAGAUCCCCUCGGGAUGGGGAUGCCCUCCCGCAGUUACUUCCCUGGGAUUGAGUGUACGUUGGCUGCUCAGGCAACGCGUGGAUUGAUCUUUCCAGGUAUCCGUAUCCAUGCCAGUGAAUGUCUCACAGGGAGCAACAAUACUGCGAGGAAUCCUGAUCCACAGUGCCGGAGUGCCCCAAGUUCAGCAAACACCCUCAGUGCACCCUUUAGCCAGUGUGUGGGUACUAACUCCUCAAAAGGAAAAACAGCCUGGCACUGUUUUAGCAGAUGGUCCAGGAGCCACUGCUCUAGUUUUUUCCUGAUGGUGAUACCAUGCCUUUGUAUCUUCCCAUCAACAGGUUAUCACGCCGGCAUCUCUAAGUUGGUGUUGUGUAGGGAACGGCGAUCGGAAGAUCUCGCGAUGGCACGGAAAGAGGAAGGAAGAGGAAGGAUAUGACGUAGAGAUAGCAGUAUGCUUGUAGGUAUAUAAGCGAAUGCAUACGUACAAUAAACGCCAUUUGCAGCAUCCU